rnacentral:rRNA from 1 species
AUGGAAGUACCCUCUGAUCCUGUGCCGACCGGGGAAGGGAGUGUGGGUGCCAAGGCUAUUGGCCAUGAUGUACUGUUGGUCGACAUUGCAUUCUUCCAAGACGAGCUCUACGUGGUCACCAAGGCCGACGAUCUCUUUGCCCUCCAUCUUGCUGAGGACAAGGAUGGCAAGCCCAUGAUCACUGGUGUCAAACGAAUCAUCAACCAUGCCCCCGGCCAUGAGGACGAUAUGUACUACGAAGCCGACAUGUGGAAGAGGUUGACUAAUGACAUCGGUUCAUCGAGCGACGACGAACACACUGAGAGAGACUACGAGGCAUCAUGUGAACAUGACAACCAUGACACGUUGAUUCAAGAAGACGCUCAUUACGAAUCCGCCGGUGAAGAUAGUGACAACGAACACUUGGCUUUCAGUGAAGAGGAUACAUUUUCUGAAUGUGAAGAGGGGGUGAAAGAAGGGUACGACGCCGUCCACACCAGCAGGCACCUUAUCAAGUCACAAUGUAAACUGCUCAUGGUUAAACGAGAGCGGCUGAUUGCAGCAUCCACUCCAACCGACCACACUCGCAAGAUCAAGGUGUUUGAGGCGGAUAUGGUCACAGGGACAUGGGUACCACUCAACGGUGGGCUAGGCGGCGGCCAGGCGGUACCUUUUUGUGGAGAAGUGGAAGAGGAUGUCAUGUAUUUUCUUGAUACAAAUGACGUGUUUGACAUGAGAUCCGCCACUAUUAGGCCGAUAGCCCCCAUGGAUUUGUUAGAUGACAGAUGGAGGGCGUGGGUUUUUCCACCGGACCUAGUUGUUUAA